AGCGGUUAUGGAUGGGGAUGCGUCUGAUUAGCUUGUUGGCGGGGUAACGGCCCACCAAGGCUACGAUCAGUAGGGGUUCUGAGAGGAAGGUCCCCACAUUGGAACUGAGACACGGUCCAAACUCCUACGGGAGGCAGCAGUGAGGAAUAUUGGUCAAUGGGCGAGAGCCUGAACCAGCCAAGUAGCGUGCAGGACGACGGCCCUAUGGGUUGUAAACUGCUUUUAUGUGGGGGAUAAAGUGCGUGACGUGUCAUGCAUUGCAGGUACCACAUGAAUAAGGACCGGCUAAUUCCGUGCCAGCAGCCGCGGUAAAU
rnacentral:rRNA from 1 species